UCCUCCCAAUGUCUGCUACGCCACGACCCUGCUCUCUGGAGGGUGCCACCAUGCUCCAGGAACAUUCGAGAUGCACUCUGGGGCCAAGCCCAUCUGACUCAGGGAACACAAACAUGAAGCAUAGUCCCUGCUCAGGCUGGCAAGGUGCAGCCUCAGAAACCUCUCCCAGGCCAAGCACGAAGAGCCGCCAGCCAGGACCCCAGAGGUGCCCUCACCUGGAAUUCAUAUUUCAGGGGGCUUC